CCCCGCUUCCCCUCCCCCUUCCCUAUUCCUAUCGCCGCCCCGCGCGCCCCAUACUCCCGUCGCCCCGGUCCUGCCAUGUCCCAGAAACAGGAGGCUGAAAACCCCUCGGAGGAGACCGGAGAGGAGAAGCAGGACACACAGGAGAAGGAAGGUAUUCUCCCCGAGAGAGCUGAGGAGGCAAAGCUAAAGGCCAAAUACCCAAGCCUAGGACAAAAACCUGGGGGCUCUGACUUCCUCAUGAAGAGACUCCAGAAGGGGCAAAAGUACUUUGACUCAGGAGACUACAACAUGGCCAAAGCCAAGAUGAAGAACAAACAGCUGCCAAGUGCAGGACCAGACAAGAACUCUGUGACAGGAGACCACAUCCCCACACCGCAGGACCUGCCCCAGAGAAAGUCUUCCCUCGUCACCAGCAAGCUUGCGGGGUAACCUGUGCCCCUCCCCUUCCCCUCCUCCACCAUCGGACUUCUCUGUAUUAUAGGCUGGGCUGGGCUGAGCAAUUAGUCAUUCAGAUCUUCACAAUAAUCUAACCAAAAGGGAGCAAGCAAAUCAAGAGAUGACUUUGGACCUGGUGUUGGUAGCUGGAGGCUGCUCAGGAAGGGGGCAGUGGCCAAGUUGAAUGAUGCUUCCCGGGGCUCCCGACAGAUCCUGAGACGCUGCCCCCCUGGGUCCUGUGCUGGCUCCUGCCCCUCCUUGCCUUAGUGGCUAGGGGGUCAGGAGGUGGCCUGGGUGCGGGCCGGAGAGGCAGAAGCCCCUGCCCGACGGUGUCCCAGCGCAUGGAGCCCCUCGGGUUGAGCACCAAGACCUUGAAUCUUUUUUGUGUUUUAUUUUUCCAAACAUCUUCUGGGGAAAAUCUCUAUGAAAUCCUGGCGUGGGGUUGAGAGGGUGGGGUUGGGUGGGGGGACAUGGGGUAAUAUGAAUUGGGGCUUGGAGCAAAAAAAAAAAUUGCUGACUACCCUCUUUCUGUAGCCCUUGGUUGGUGAUGGCCGGGUAUGGGGGUUGCUAUAGGGAAAAUGGACUGAAGAUGGAUCAGUCCAGUUCUGCAGAAAAAAUGCCUUGUGUGCUGGGAUUGGUGCUGGGUGAUCUAGAGUCAGGUAAAUGGACUGUCCAUCUAGAUCUGACCACUGUAAAUACAGCUCCCUUUUGUCUGUCUGUAAAGCAGGCUGGGAAUCAUAACUCUAAUAUAUCUAAAUGUCUGAGGAUUGCUGAUCCUUUGAAGUAGAAUUACCAUGGGAAUUGGGGCUGUGAGUUGGGGGGGAGGCAGAAAUUUGGGGAGCCCUAAAGAGCCUAGGGAACUUUUUCAGUAUUUGAAAUAAAAAAAACACCCACAAAAAAAACCCCCAGAA